rnacentral:rRNA from 1 species
CCUACGGGAGGCAGCAGUGGGGAAUAUUGGGCAAUGGAGGAAACUCUGACCCAGCGACGCCGCGUGCGGGAUGAAGGCCUUCGGGUUGUAAACCGCUUUCAGCAGGGAAUAAGCGCAAGUGAAGGUACCUGCAGAAGAAGCACCGGCUAACUAUGUGCCAGCAGCCGCGGUAAUACAUAGGGUGCAAGCGUUGUCCGGAAUUAUUGGGCGUAAAGAGCUCGUAGGUGGUUUGUUACGUCGGAUGUGAAAAUCAGGGGCUCAACCCCUGACCUGCAUUCGAUACGGGCAAGCUGGAGUUUGGUAGGGGAGACUGGAAUUCCUGGUGUAGCGGUGGAAUGCGCAGAUAUCAGGAGGAACACCGAUGGCGAAGGCAGGUCUCUGGGCCAAUACUGACACUGAGGAGCGAAAGCGUGGGGAGCGAACAGGAUUAGAUACCCUGGUAGUCCACGCCGUAAACGGUGGGCACUAGUUGUGCGAACCUUCCACGGUUUGUGCGACGCAGCUACGCAUAAGUAGCCCGCCGUCGGGAGGUACGAGUCGCGAAGAAUUAAACUAACGAAGGAAGUUAGUACGGCGUGAGACGUGCCGAACGGACGACGACGAGGGAGGUAGG